GAGAUCCAAGUUCUGAAGGUAUAGCUCCAGAAAGUUGAUUUUGAUUCAAAGCUAGCUUCAGCAGAGACGUUAACUUUCCCAGUUCAUUCGGAAUCUUCCCAGAUAUAUGAUUUGAAGAAAGAUCAAGUUCACGUAGUUGCUUAAAUUUUCCAAUCUCAGGUGGUAUCACGCCAGUAAUAUUGUUUCCUGCAACACUUAUGGCCUCUAUUUGUGACCUCCAUUUCCAAAUGCUUCAGAUCUGACCAGAAAAUUUGUUGCGACUUAGAUCCAUGUGUCGUAAGUUUGAGUUGACAACGAA
rnacentral:misc_RNA from 1 species